rnacentral:rRNA from 1 species
AUUGAACGCUGGCGGCGGGCCUAAUACAUGCAAGUCGAGCGGACGGACGAAGAUCUUUCUUCUCUUUAGUUACCGGCGGACGGGUGAUGAAUAGGUGUAUAACCUGCCGAUGAGGCUGGGAUAACUUCGGGAAACCUAAGCUAAUACCGGUUAAUAUGGUGAACCGCAUGGUCCAAAAGUGAAAGAGGUUUUUGCUGUCACUUAUACAUAGAUCCUCGCUGCAUUAGCUAUUUGGUAACGUAACGGCUUACCAAGGCAACGAUGCGUAGACGACCUGAGAGGGUGAUCGGCCACACUGGAACUGAGACACGGUCCAGACUCCUACGGGAGGCAGCAGUUGGGAAUCUUCCGAAAUGGGCGAAAGCCUGACGGAGCCACGCCGCGUGAGUGAUGAAGGUUCUCGGAUCGUAAAACCAUGUUAUUAGGGAAGAACAUAUGUGUAAGUAACUCUGCACUUCUUGACGGUAACUAAUCAGAAAGCCACGGCUAACUACGUG